rfam:Triticum aestivum genome assembly, contig: Triticum_aestivum_CS42_TGACv1_scaffold_425943_5BS
AUACUACUCCCUCCGUCCGAAAAUACUUGUCAUCAAAAUGGAUAAAAGGUGAUGUAUCUAGAACUAAAAUACGUCUAGAUACACCCUCUUCUAUUCAUUUUGAUGACAAGUAUUUUCGGACGGAGGGAGUAUUAA